UACGUAGGUGGCAAGCGUUGUCCGGAUUUAUUGGGCUUAAAGGGUGCGUAGGCGGUCUUUUAAGUCAGUGGUGAAAUACGGCAGCUCAACUGUCGAGGUGCCAUUGAUACUGGAAGACUUGAGUACUGAUGAGGUAGGCGGAAUGGACGGUGUAGCGGUGAAAUGCUUAGAUAUCGUCCAGAACACCGAUAGCGAAGGCAGCUUACUAAGGAGUAACUGACGCUGAGGCACGAAAGUGUGGGGAUCAAACAGG
rnacentral:rRNA from 1 species